rnacentral:rRNA from 1 species
UACGGAGGGUGCAAGCGUUAUCCGGAUUCACUGGGUUUAAAGGGUGCGUAGGUGGGUCUGAAAGUCAGUGGUGAAAUCUCCGGGCUUAACCUGGAAACUGCCAUUGAUACUUCAGGUCUUGAAUUUUCUGGAGGUUAGCGGAAUAUGUCAUGUAGCGGUGAAAUGCUUAGAUAUGACAUAGAACACCAAUUGCGAAGGCAGCUUACUACAGGGACAUUGACACUGAGGCACGAAAGCGUGGGGAUCAAACAGG